CGACGUGGAUAACCUGCCUCACACAGGGGAGUAACAGUUAGAAAUGACUGCUAAUACCGCAUAAGCGCACGGCAUCGCAUGAUGCAGUGUGAAAAACUCCGGUGGUGUGAGAUGGAUCCGCGUCUGAUUAGGUAGUUGGUGGGGUAACGGCCCACCAAGCAGACGAUCAGUAGCCGACCUGAGAGGGUGACCGGCCACAUUGGGACUGAGACACGGCCCAA
rnacentral:rRNA from 1 species